rnacentral:rRNA from 1 species
UACGAGGGGGGCGAGCGUUGUUCGGAAUUACUGGGCGUAAAGCGUGCGCAGGCGGUUAUGCAAGACAGAUGUGAAAUCCCCGGGCUCAACCUGGGAACUGCAUUUGUGACUGCAUAGCUAGAGUGCGGCAGAGGGAGAUGGAAUUCCGCGUGUAGCAGUGAAAUGCGUAGAUAUGCGGAGGAACACCGAUGGCGAAGGCAAUCUCCUGGGCCUGCACUGACGCUCAUGCACGAAAGCGUGGGGAGCAAACAGG